UACAGAGGGUGCAAGCGUUAAUCGGAAUUACUGGGCGUAAAGCGCUCGUAGGCGGAUCUUUAAGUCGAUUGUGAAAUCCCCGGGCUCAACCUGGGAAUUGCAAUCGAAACUGGAGAUCUAGAGUAUGAUAGAGGAAAGUAGAAUUCCCGGUGUAGCGGUGAAAUGCGUAGAUAUCGGGAGGAAUACCAGUGGCGAAGGCGGCUUUCUGGAUCAAUACUGACGCUGAGGGGCGAAAGCGUGGGGAGCAAACAGG
rnacentral:rRNA from 1 species